UCCUGCCAGUCGCUCGGGCGAGCCCGUCGCGGCGGGACAUUACCCAGCGACCCCGGGGGAAAUCCCCACGGGUUACUAAAUGCUGCAACAGGAAGGCAAAUACAGCAGAAUAUUCCAUUAAUGGGCACUUUUAAAAAUAAUUCCUCAAUUUCUUUCGAAGUAAAAGCCCAAUAUGGCCCAAUUUAGCAGAUACUGUCUAAUUAUAGACAAAAACUAUAAUUAAAUUAGUGCCUGAAAACAUGAGGUUCAACUCUAUUUAUUGGCACCUAUCCUAGCUCUUGGUUCCAGAUAAUAGUAAUGAUAAGUAUCAGUAGUAAAUGGAUGCCUCAGUUCAACAUUUCAGAACUUCUAGCAGGGGUAAGGUGCACCCCGAUGAUUCGGAAUCAUAUAGCAAUGCAGGGUUGGAAUUGCUUUCCUGACGUGCUGGCACACAUAGAAACAUCAGAUAUUAAAAAAAUGCCAGGGAAUCAACAUCAUGUGAGUCGUGACUGAAACUUCGUACACUAUGGAGGUAGCGGUCCAGUGCUUGCUAGGUCUUCAAACUCACCUUCUUUCCAAACUGACACUGUAGAGGCAUUCUUCAGUAUCGGAAACUCCAUCAUCACCGCGCAACAGCAUUUCAAAUACAUUAGCAAACAGGUAGCACCAUAAGAUUAUACCAAAAGAUUAUACCACCAAAGGAUUAUACUGCAUGCUGUUCACAAGUUUCAUGAGACUAUAAAUGCAGAUGUGCAUCUAAUGUCAACGAUCAAAGUCCAAAGGAAUCAACCUGGCAAUUGUGUCAUCAAGUCCAUAUUCCAUGUACCAAUAUGUGGAGAAUCCUUAAAAAUAACUUACAGCUGUAUCUGUACAUGCUACAGAUGGUACAUGAAUUAUUUGACUGAGAUUCAACUAACCAUAUUCUGUGAUUGGCUAAUCAGCAAAUGUGAUGACUUUGUGCGACCCAUUAUCAUAGCUGGCAAAGCUUAAUUUCUGCCUUGGUGGUUAUGUCAAUAAACAAAACUAUCAACUCUGGGCAGACAAAAUCUGCAUCUGUUGCAUGAAACACCACUGUACAGUGCCAAUGUUCAUAUGGUUUGCAGUGAGUCUUGCCUGUGUGAUGGAUUUCCUUUUUAAAAAAAAAGAUGAACAUAAUGAUAUCAUCACGUCACCACUGACUGGUACAGCACAAUGUCAUGAACAUUUUUUGAAUCGCAAAAUGAGACAACUUGGCUUAAUGAACAUGUGGAUGCAGCAGGAUAGUGUCACCAGUCAUACUGCAGUAGUGUCGAUGACAACCUUCAUCAGUACUUUUCGGGAUGUCUCAUCUCCAAAUUCAGUGAUAUCUAAUGGCCAUUCACAUCCUCCAGUCUAAUUCCACUAUUUCCUGCGGGGUUAUCUAAAGCAGAAGCUGUACACCACAAAAUCCACUGCCAUCACCACCUUGCACCACUAUAAAACUUUAUUAUUGUCAUAAAAUUUUAGUUUGGACAUAGAAAAUCAUUUACAAUGAAAAGCAGAACUAGAAACUUUGCAGCUGCAUAAAAAUUAUCGGGUUGUCAGGAAAAUAAUGCAGGUUUUUGCAAUUGUUUAUCUUUGCUGUAAAUUUUUAGCAACAAAAAUAUUUUGAAUUACAUUGGUUUAUAUAUAAUUUUGAAGCUUUAUUUCUGCUCUACAUUUAUAUAAUAAUCAUUUUAUUCUAAAAUUAUUUUAAAUUUUUGGCAAAUUUACUCUCAUGAGUACAAAAUAGGUCGCAGAGCAGCACAAACGGCUUGAAAUGUCAACGAAGUAUGGAGCAAGAAAAGUGUUAAUGAAUCUACAGCUCAACGGUGGUACCAAAAGUUUUGUCAUGGAGAAUUUGACCUGGGAGAUCAAGAACAUCGUGGACACUCUUCAGCUGUUGAUGAUGACGAUUUGAAGACUUUAGUUGAAACAAACCCAUGCACAACUGUUCAAGAGCUUGCGGAGAAGCUUGGCAUAAGCAAAACAAUGAUUUCUGAUCACUUGAAUCGUAUAAGAAAGUCAAAAGAAGCUCAAUAAGUGGGUGCCUCACGAAUUGAGCAAAAAUAAAAAAAGUUGCCAUUUUGAAGUGUCGUCUGGUCUUCUUCUCCUCAACAAAAACUUGCACUGUACUGAGUAAUCUUGAUCGAAUUGUUACGUGCGAUGAAAAGUGGAUUCUCUCUAAAAACUGGCGACAUUCGGCUCAGUGGUUGGACCGCGGUCAGACACCACAACAUUUUCCAUAGCCGAAUUUACACCAAAAGAAAACUAUGGUUACUGUUUGGUGGUCUGCGGCCGGUCUCAUCCAUCACAGCUUCCUAAAUCUCUGUGAAAUGAUUACGGCAGAUAAGUAUUGUUAGCAAAUCAAUGAAAUGCACCAAAAAUUGCAAUGCAUGUGUUCAGCAUUGGUCAACAGAAAGGGGCCAGUUCUUAUCCAUGACGAUGCUCGGCCACAUGUCGUGCAACUGACCUUACAGAAAUUGAACGAAUUGAGAUACAAGACACUCCCUUUCCUCCCAUAUUCGCCUGACCUCUCACCAACCGAUUACCACUUUUUCAAACACCUGGAUAACAUUCUGCAGAAGAAAUGCUUCAGAAACUUAGACGCGGCCAAAAACGCCUUUACCAACUUUAUCGCAUCCAGAACUCCAGAACUUUAUUUUAUUAAUAUAUAAGAACAUUA